rnacentral:misc_RNA from 1 species
GGAAGUAAAAGUUAACAAGGUUUCCGUAGGUGAACCUACGGAAGGAUCAUUCAUAAUAAAGUGUUUUAUGGCACUUUUUAAAAAUCCAUAUCCACCUUGUGUGCAAUGUUAGAUCUCGUCAAUCUUGGCGAGAUUUUUAUACAUCAACUCAUUCUUUAACUAAUUUGUCUGAAAAAUAUUAUGAAUACUUAAUUCAAAAUACAACUUCCAACAACGGAUCUCUUGGCUCUC